AGCCCGUGCUGAGGACAUUUCCACAAGAGAUCCUUGAACCUAUCCCAUGUCUCAAAAAGAGAUUCCAAUUCCAUUUUCACAAAUAAGGAUAUUUCAUUCCUAAGCUU